rnacentral:rRNA from 1 species
AUGGCGUGGUGGUGCAUGGAGGCGGCUGCAGUGCCACGACAAUGUGGUGGUGCGACACGCUGUGGUGCCGACGGCGUGGUCUCGGUGAAGGUGCGGCAAUCGCCGAUGACCAGCUUGGGAAGGGGAAGGACGCCCAAGGGAAAGGGGAGGCGACGUGGCUAUCGGCGAUGCACCGGUGCGGUUGCAGCUGGCCACCAGCGGGGUGGCGCCGCGGCGAUCGUCGACAUGGACUUGGGCCGGUCGUGGCAGUGGCCGUAUGUGACACGUAUUCAACUGGGUAAUCCGCCAAAGAAUUUCAGCGUGCUAAUUGAUACCGCGAGUAUAAUGUCAUGGGUUUCUUGCCGGACACCAGGUGGAUCUAGUGUUAGUUCCUUACCAGGAAUAUUUGACCCUAGAUCAUCAUCUACAUCAUCUCUGAUAUCAUGUUCAGACAAGACAUGUCAAGCCAUGAUCCCCGACCUUGCAGUGUGCAGCAAAUCGAGUGAUUCCUGCGAGUGGCAUGUACUCUAUGGUUCUGGAGUUGCUGUGUAUUCUAACACAACGGGAUACUAUAUAUCUGACGUGGCGCAUUUAGAGAUUCUCAAUGCAGUUGGACACACAUCGUCUGCUCCCGCCACUAUUAUUUUUGGCUGUAGCACUUUACGGUCAGGUGAACUGGCAGAGGCAAAAUUUGAUGGCAUUUUAACCUUUGCGCCGCAUCAAAUGUCCUUCAGUUCACAGCUGCAUUCUCAGGGGUUAAUCGCUGGCGUCUUCUCUCUAUGCUUGAAGAGUGCAUAUUGGGGCGGUAUCCUUGUAUUUGGAGAAAUUUUGGAGGAGGGAAUUGUUUACACUUCACUGUUACCUUCACCGAAUUUUUUCCAACUGUAUCUGGAGAGUAUCGCUGUGAAUAGUCAAGAGCUUCCAAUUGAACCGUCAUUUUUUAGACCAUCACGUAAACAUGUAACCAUUGCAGAUUCAGGAACUUCAUUGACGUACCUGGCAGAUGGUGCCUAUGACCCAUUCAUCAAUGCGAUAACUGCAGCAGUGUCUCCACAUGUACGCCUGGUCAAGAAUUCAGAUCGGUGCUUCGUUACAUCUAUCAAUAUUGAUUUAUCAUUUCCAACACUGACACUGCACUUUGCGGGCGGUGCUGUAAUGAAGCUUAAGCCAAACAAUUAUUUACGUUCUGUAAGUCCGAAAGAGGAUGAAGUAAUUUACUGUAUUGCGUGGAAAAGGAACUAUGGCGAACAAAUAACGGUACUUGGAGAUAUUGUACUGAAGGAUAAAAUUAUUGUUCAUGAUUUGGAGAACAUGCUCUUCGGUUGGAUGGAUUUUGAUUGUAAGUUCUAA